ensembl:lncRNA
GUGGGCCUCGAGGGACAAAAUGGGCUGGCGUGUGGGCCUCGAGGGACAAAUGGCUGGCGUGGUGGGCCUCGAGGGACAAAAUGGGCUGGGCGGGUGGGCCUCGAGGGACAAAAUGGGCUGGCGUGGUGGGCCUCGAGGGACAAAAUGGGGCAGUGUGGAAUAGAAAUACGCAGGCCUAUUUCUAGUCCCAGUCCCUGUGAACAUCAUAUCACAGCGGGUUUAAAGGUCAUACACCAGCUGACUGCUAACAGCCCCAGUGACGAAAGAUGAACCCAGGGGCUCACAGAGUCACCUGAGACCGAUCCCUGAGAUUGUCGGAAGGUUGACUCCUCCAUCAAUGUAUGCCUGUUUGAUUCAUUUUUUCAUUGUUGUUGCAUCACUCAUUGGACCAUCUGUUGCUUCUGUGGAAUAAGUCACGUAUAUAUGUCACCCUGAGUUUCUGUGUUCACACUUGCUAUAGUGACACUGCCCGUCUGACCUCAUUGUAAUGUAGUUCAAGGCCCUGUUUGAGUUCUUUACAAACACAACCUGCCUUCUCCCUUCCUUGAAGCGAUCACUGAUCUCAAAUCAAAUCAAAUCAAAUCAAAUUUUAUUUGUCACAUAACAUGGCUACAGAUGUUAAUGCGAGUGUAGCGAAAUGCUUGUGCUUC